GCGGUGACAGCCUAUUUUUCUUGGGCCGGUUAGUACCAGGCCGCCUCCAAACACAAACGAAUAGAAAACGCCGUCCAUUCGACAUCCGAAGUUAGUUUCCGAAAACAAAAAGUCGGCUCUUUAAUGUCGCUGACUCUUUGGUGCAGCGACACGUGAUGCAUGAGGUGAACCUUUUGAGCGGAACAUUCUGACUGGUAGGGAACGCAAGUUCGGAGGAGGGGAGCCGGGGAGGGGACGACCCUAAGGUAUCGGGGUUACUAAUUAUUGGACCUUAAGACGGGAUCGAUCAAUGGGACCCUUUAAGAGUACCACUCACAGACCGUGCUGUGUGAAACUAACCAACCAAAGCCUCGAUUCCACUUCGACAGUCCCUUGCUCGUUAAUAGGAAGGAAGGAUCCGCUCAUCGGGUAAACCAGAGACUAGAGAUAGGCGAGUCUCCUUACCAGAUAAAACGGAGGGAAAAAUUCGGGUACAGGAGGAGGGAGCGGUAGUAAGUAGGGUUGUUUCGCACAGUUUGGAGAGGGAGUUCACAACAGGGUUAUGGGUGAUGGAGAAGAGAGGUGGCAGAAGAAGUCGAGAGAGCUCGCCUUCCUUUUCCAGAGUACCUCCCGGAGUAGGGCAAGUAGAUGUCCCGGCACCGCGUCAUGUCCUUCCUCCCCGUCCAGAGGGAGCGGCUGGAGGAGAAGCUGCUCGUCGGCAGGAGCAGCGGGUGCCGCCGGAGCCGGAUGAAGGCGGAGGGGCCCCUGAGGCCGGCCGUGGUCGCGCAGAGCCGGCUGAGGCCACGUCGUGCCGCCAGAGGCCGCGUGGCAGCCGCGUGGUACCUCGUGCCUAGCACCACUGGCUAACACCAACUUCGCGUCUUUCCGGUUAUUAUUUCCUUUGUCUCGCUUCGUCCACUUCUGAACGGAUCCAUGCAGCAGCUCAUGUACGUCUAUGCUACAGCUAACGACUCGGAUCGAUUCGAUUGUGCUCGAAGUCUGGACGUCAAAUACACACGAUAUGUACGUAUAUAAACAUAAAGUCAAGUCGGACAUUGCUCAGCCACUCACAGUUGACAUUUAUACCCUACGUGUUCGCGUCCUGGAGGCUUCCUCCUGACACUUCUUCUACAUAUCACAGUCUCAGGUAUGUUUAUGUACCUCACAUUAUACCGUUAUUUUCGAAGUGGUACAUGUUUUUCCAACACAUGUGCGUGUGUACUGACGAACGACGUUCUGACGUUUUCUUCACUGACAGUUCGUAGUUCUAACGAUCAACGUAGGCGCAAGAAGUCAAGUUAGCAGGAAAAGUUCCUUCUUCUUCUUAAAAGUCAAGCUUUAUUCCUAUUUUUGUUGGAAGACCAAAGUGUGGGUCUCGUUCUUGAUGGUAACAAGAGAACUUUGAGUG
rnacentral:rRNA from 1 species